GAUGAACGCUAGCGGCAGGCUUAAUACAUGCAAGUCGAGGGACAGCACAGGUAGCAAUACUGGGUGGUAACCGGCAAACGGGUGCGGAACACGUACACAACCUUCCUUUAAGUGGGGGAUAGCCCAGAGAAAUUUGGAUUAAUACCCCGUAAUAUAGUUGAAUGGCAUCAUUUGAUUAUUAUAGCUACGGCGCUUAAUGAUGGGUGUGCGGCUGAUUAGAUAGUUGGCGGGGUAACGGCCCACCAAGUCUACGAUCAGUAGCUGAUGUGAGAGCAUGAUCAGCCAAACGGGCACUGAGACACGGGCCCGACUCCUACGGGAGGCAGCAGUAAGGAAUAUUGGUCAAUGGACGCAAGUCUGAACCAGCCAUGCCGCGUGAAGGAUUAAGGUCCUCUGGAUUGUAAACUUCUUUUAUUUGGGACGAAAAAGGGCCUUUCUAGGUCAACUGACGGUACCAGGUGAAUAAGCACCGGCUAACUCCGUGCCAGCCGCCGCGGUAAUAC
rnacentral:rRNA from 1 species